rnacentral:rRNA from 1 species
UGGGCAACCUGCCCUCAGCUCUGGGAUAACUCCAGAAAUUGGGCUAAUACCGGAUAUGACCGCUGACCGCAUGGUCUGGUGGUGGAAAGAUUUAUUGGCCAGGGAUGGGCUCGCGGCUUAUCAGCUUGUUGGUGGGGUGAUGGCCUACCAAGGCGACGACGGGUAGCCGGCCUGAGAGGGCGACCGGCCACACUGGGACUGAGACACGGCCCAGACUCCUACGGGAG